CCAGUAAGAGUAUUGAAAACUAGCACUAUUACUUGGAAGACUAGACAAAAUAAGCACCAAAUCACAGAAUUUUCAUCUGAGGCAACUUCAAGAAGGUUCAAGAUGACGCUGAAAAUUCACAUAGUUUAUUGUGGUGCAUGAGGAUAUGCCCCCAAGUUUCGCAAAAUUAAAGCGGAACUUGAGAAAGAAUUUGGCAAUGAGUUGGAAAUAACAGGAGAGGGAACUCCAACCACUACAGGUUGGCUGGAGGUCCAGAUUGUAGGAGGGGAACUUCUCCAUUCCA